rnacentral:rRNA from 1 species
GACGAACGCUGGCGGCGUGCUUAACACAUGCAAGUCGAACGGAAAGGCCCUGCUUGCAGGGUACUCGAGUGGCGAACGGGUGAGUAACACGUGGGUGAUCUGCCCUGCACUUCGGGAUAAGCCUGGGAAACUGGGUCUAAUACCGGAUAGGAGCCAUUUUUAGUGUGAUGGUUGGAAAGUUUUUUCGGUGUAGGAUGAGCUCGCGGCCUAUCAGCUUGUUGGUGGGGUAAUGGCCUACCAAGGCGGCGACGGGUAGCCGGCCUGAGAGGGUGGACGGCCACAUUGGGACUGAGAUACGGCCCAGACUCCUACGGGAGGCAGCAGUGGGGAAUAUUGCACAAUGGGCGCAAGCCUGAUGCAGCGACGCCGCGUGGGGGAUGACGGCCUUCGGGUUGUAAACUCCUUUCGCUAGGGACGAAGCUUUUUGUGACGGUACCUAGAUAAGAAGUACCGGCGAACUACGU